rnacentral:rRNA from 1 species
UAUUAUAUAUUAAUUUACACUGAAUAAAUAAAUCUAAUCAUAUUUUUCUUAUAAAUGAAAUUUCUAAUCAAAAUAAUUCAACAAUCUUACAAAAAAUAGACUAAAACCAGGAUUAGAUACCCUGCUAUUCUUUAAUUUAUAUAAUAUUUCAAAGGAAAAAAACACAUUAAAUUUGACGGUAUUAACUUUUACAAAGGAAUUUGUUUCUUAAUCGACAACCCACGAUAUAUCUUACUUAAUACUUAUUUGUAUACCACCGUAUAAAAAAAUUAUUUCAUAUUAAUUUUAUAAUAGAAAAAUCUUUCAAAUCAGGUCAAGGUGCAACUUUAUUAAGUUGAAAUGAAUUACAUUAAUUUAUAUUUAUACAUAAUAAUUGUAACAUUAUUAAAAAUAGAAUUUGUUAGUAAAAUAUUAUCAUUAAAAUUAAUUGAAAAUUAACAUUAAUAUG